rnacentral:rRNA from 1 species
CUGGUCUGACAUCCAUAGAAUCUUUCAGAGAUGAGAGAGUGCCUUCGGGAGCUAUGAGACAGGUGCUGCAUGGCUGUCGUCAGCUCGUGUUGUGAAAUGUUGGGUUAAGUCCCGCAACGAGCGCAACCCCUAUCCUUUGUUGCCAGCACGUAAUGGUGGGAACUCAAAGGAGACUGCCGUUGAUAAAGCGGAGGAAGGUGGGGACGACGUCAAGUCAUCAUGGCCCUUACGACCAGGGCUACACACGUGCUACAAUGGCGUAUACAAAGGGAUGCGAAGGUGCGAACUGGAGCGGACCUCACAAAGUACGUCUAAGUCCGGAUUGGAGUCUGCAACUCGACUCCAUGAAGUCGGAAUCGCUAGUAAUCGUGAAUCAGAAUGUCACGGUGAAUACGUUCCCGGGCCUUGUACACACCGCCCGUCACACCAUGGGAGUGGGUUGCACCAGAAGUAGAUAGCUUAACCUUCGGGAGGGCGUUUACCACGGUGUGGUUCAUGACUGGGGUGAAGUCGUAACAAGGUAACCA